UCAUUAUUGAAGAGUCCCACAAUAGGACGAAACGAUUGUCCAAUGC
rfam:Schistosoma haematobium scaffold946_13, whole genome shotgun sequence.